AUGAAGAAGAUCAAGAAGCUGAUGAGGAAGAACAACGAGCUAGAAGAGGAACUCAAGUUUACACAUGAUGGAUGUGAGGAAGAAAUUGCUGUACUACUGGAGAAGCAUGAAGAUCUAAAGAGGAAGUUAGAACUACCAGUGGAGAGUCAUAAGCGAGAACCAGCAAAGGAGAUCCGUUCGGAGGACUACAUCAUCUUGGACGACACCGACACAGACAGCGAUGCAAAUGAUGACAGUGAUGACGACUACGUUGACGAAGCUGGAGCAGAUAUCAUGGAGUCUUCCUCUGAUCAAAAUUUCUAG
rnacentral:rRNA from 1 species